UACGGAGGGUGCAAGCGUUACUCGGAAUUAUUGGGCGUAAAGGGCGCGUAGGCGGUCGUGUGCGUCAGAGGUGAAAUCCCCGGGCUUAACCCGGGAGCUGCCUCUGAUACGGCAUGGCUUGAGUCCGGGAGAGGGGAGCAGAAUUCCCAGUGUAGCGGUGAAAUGCGUAGAUAUUGGGAGGAAUACCGGUGGCGAAGGCGGCUCCCUGGACCGGUACUGACGCUGAGGCGCGAAAGCGUGGGUAGCAAACAGG
rnacentral:rRNA from 1 species